GGGUGAUUAGCUCAGCUGGGAGAGCACCUCCCUUACAAGGAGGGGGUCGGCGGUUCGAUCCCGUCAACACCCACCA
rnacentral:tRNA from 1 species